ACAGGAAACGACGACAUGCAAGCCUGUGCCCCAAGCCGCUUUGCUUACUUCCUUUUGCUUUGGUAGCUCUAACGACCUAACUACCACGCACUCACUCACCAAAUGCACUGAAUGAACCGCCUGGGUUUGGAUCAGUCGAAACUCGAAACACAGACCCAUGUAGACGGCAGAGCGAAAGAACAUCAUCUUGACAAAACCACACUGCAAUCAUAGAACUUGAAACACAGGAGAGAUCGAGCACAAAAUUAAUUAAAUGCUUGACGAUCACAUGGAAAUCGAUCAGAAUCACUGAGGACAGCGUCGAAGUAAAACCGUCAAAAACUCAUGCAAAAGAGUGGGCUUGCAGGAGCCAAGGACUACUACGCUGCACUCACUGCAGGCUGCAGCAUCAGCAAGCAAAUUAAAGGUGAUGAUGGGGCGGAGAGGAGACUAGAGUGACUUGCAGGUCCCGCGAAGCAGCAAAGCAAUGCUUGGAGAGCGAGAGCGACCAGCAAGAGACUGGCUUUGCUGCUGUCUCUUUCUGGAUGGGUAGGAGCCUAAUGGUCACAUGAUCAAAAGGUCGUCGCGUCUCGCACGCAGCCGACCCGAGAUGUCGUUCUUCACCUGCUGGUAAAGGAUGUGCGCUUUUUUUCUUCAGCGGAAAAAGGAUUCAGGGAUGCCAUGAUUUUUUUGAAGGAAAACUGGAGGGACUUGCGCCCCUACAGUAAGGGAUGCCAUGAUUGCCAGCGAGGACUUGUUUUUUUUUUUUUGAAAUUUUUCGUAUCGUCAGUUUGAAAUGUUUGAUCACACAUUAUUACACUAUACGCCAUGCCUGAUAAUAUCUCUCGUGUCUUUUCCGUAUAUAUGGACUGCGCCAUGUGCUUCAGGUAAGACCGUGAGAGGUCUUUGGUCUAAAACAAUGUGCUAGCUUCAGGUAUCAUUUGAUGCUUGACGAUCACAAGAGUUUGUGUUUGAACCGGGAUAGAUAUUAAACAAUAUAAAAUCGUCAACAGAAGCUAGCUAUACUUCCACCACUGGCUUUGGAACAAGACUCACAUGGUGUACUAUGCGCAGGUGUGGCAAAUUAAAAUCAACAGGCGAGAUAUGCAGAAGCUGGGAGCCUUUGACUCUGUGACAGGCACUACAAAACAAACAAAAGUUAGGCAGAUAGACACAUGACACCAUGCAAUGCAACGCCUAGUACUACUAGUAGUAGCAUGACAACUGACGGUCGCCAUAUCUCCUACUCAUCAUAUUAGACCGACCUCUCUGUCUCUGCUGCUUAACAAGGGCAGCAACGGCCGGUGACGCCUCCCAAUCAGACACUGUGGAUCGAUCUCCCUUUAACAACAACAGCUAGCUGCCCACACGCACUUGCCUGGAACAUAAUCCUCCCCCCCCCCCCCCCCCCACCCACUUAGAGCGUUCGAUCCCCUUGCGCUUGU
rnacentral:lncRNA from 1 species